AGGAACCAGUGCGGGUGGGUCAAACCUCUGUUUUCUUGCCUGCAGACCCUGCAGGAAGCUGUGUGAAAGGCCAGCAGCGGACCCGGCCGGCAGCUGGUGGGCCCUUCGUGGCCACGCGGAUGUCUCCUGUCACGGAAAGAAUGCAGAGCCCACCAGAAGGAGCUCACGUUGCACUUUUCCCAGUCAACCAAGCCUCUUCCCGGGCCUUGGGGAAUGUGACGGAUGGGGUUCCACCAUUCAGGCUGCAACCGGAGAAGCUGCAGACUGCCCGGCUUCGGAUCCACCGCCUGGAGGAGGGUCCCCACAGGUCAAGCGCGGGGGCUCCCCACCUGAAAAGCUCCCAGAGCCACAAGGGGCUGUGGGCUGUGCCGGCCGAGGGUCUGGAGCCUGUAAUUGGGCCAAACCACCAAGGCACUGGUUCAUCAGAAUGAAAUUUCAACCCACUGAAGCACGAGGGUCUGGCUUCCCACUGGCUGAGGCCACAGACGCGGCUCCGUGUCUUCAUGAGCCCUCACGCUCUGGGAGGCACACAGGCUCGCUUCCUUGCCACACGAAGUUCAAAUUGAGGAGGGAAAGAUGAGUUUCAGAUGCUAAAAAAAAAAAUCCUUACGGGCUUUUCGAGGAAACGAACCAGCCUGCUCUUGGGCGUCCUCGGGAGAGAAGUCUGCGCUCUCCGCCCCGUCUCUGAUGGACGUGGCCGCCAUGUCUUUCAUAUUCCAAACGUGGCCUGUAAUUUCCUGCGACCUGGAAAUCCAGAUGUUCCCCGGUUUAGACUUCACUGCUCAGAACAACAGAUUUUAGUAAAAUGCCCCCUGGAACUUCUCUGGAACUUUCUUUUUAAUGGGAUGAGCAUGACGGAAAAAUGCAGAGAUUGCCAAAGUGUGGCUUAAUGAAUGAUCACGGGGUGGUGCCAGGUGUGACACCCAGGCGGUGGCCGCUAUGGAGCCAACCUUCUCACUGGGAGCUCGGAGCUCCUCCUACCUGUGUCCCCUCACCCCACCCCAGAGCGGCCCCCACCGCCUCUAAGGC
rnacentral:lncRNA from 1 species